rnacentral:lncRNA from 1 species
GAGAGAGGUGCUAGAGGACAACUGCGAGAGCAAGUGAGGGAGGGGAAGAGGAGGAGCUCACCCAAAUUUCCCCGGUUUGGCUGCAUUCUGAACCAGUUGGGGACAAAAGCACCAAGGUCUCAGCCAGGUGAGGGAGUUUGCCCAAGGCACAGUGACUGAACUGGAACUGGUGCUGCAGGGAGCUGGAAGGAAGGAAGGAAGUCCAAACAGAGGGAACGUGGACAGACUCAGGCACAAGGGCUUAAGCUAUGAGCCUAGCAGUGAGGCCCAACUCAGUUUACAAGGCUUGCAAACCAGGUAGGUACUGCAGGGGCUGAGGAAGGGGAGUGGAGGGAGGUGGAAGGAGCAAGUCAUCUGGGCAGCUGUUUACAAUCUCUGGGAUAAUCCCUACCACAUUUCUGCAACCGAUAUCUCUCUCCUUUACCAGGCUGUGAAUUCCUUGAGGAUAGAACACUGUUUAUUUAUUUCUGAAUCUCUAGUGUUUCACAGAGUGGUCUAAGCCAAGGAGACUUUUUUU